CAUCUUGGUGCCUCGAUAUCCUUAUCUGUAAAGUGGGAAUAAUGCUGGCACCUGCCUUGUAGACUUGUUAUAAGGAUUCCUUGAAGCGAUGCCUGUAAAGCUCCUGGAAGCUUGUUGGUGAUCCUUAUGCCAUUAAAGCUUGAAAUGCCCAGCCUUAGCACAUUGCCUGGCACAGCCAGAGGUGCAGUUGCUGUUAUAUCCCUUCCACCUCCUCUUCGACUGCAUACCCUCAACUGUCUUCUCCCUGUACAGCAGGAAUGUUCAACUCUGGCUGCCCAUUAGAAUCACCUGGAGAGGUUUUUAAAGCCCUGUUGCCUGGAGCAAUUAAAACAGAAUUUCAGGAGGUCAUACGGAAGCAUUAUUAUUUCAGGUGAUUUCAAUGUGCAGCCAAAGCUGAGAAACACGGUUCUGUAGCAGCGGCUUGCAAACUUUAGUGUGCAUCAGAAUCACCUGGAGGGCUUGUUAAAACUCAGUCUAUGGGACCUGCCCGAGAGUUUCUAAUUUCGUGGAUACAAGACAACUCUCCUUCCUUCCACCAUCUGUGUGGCUGCCCCUCCUUUUAUUUGCCAUCUGUAUCUCUUUACCCUCUUCCUAAUGACCUCUUCCAGACCCAUUACUGAAAUCUUUUUUGAGAAGAUUUGCCAGUAGGUGUCUUUAUGCCAGUGGGGUCGAUAUUCUCAAACCUGUUCCAGCUUUAGUCACAGUUGACCAUGUCUCAAAAUUCUCCUCCUUUUAGUUCAGAGCUGCCACUCUCGGAGUUGUCCUCAUUUCUCUUUCCUUCUCCCUCCUCUGCUUGGAACUCGUGACUCCCAUGACCAUUCUUUGGGUCCCUAUAUUUAUCCCUUAAAAAGAGCACAGUCUUAAGUGUGAGACAGAUGUGGGUUUAUGUCUUGUACUUGGGCAAUUCAAACUCUGAGCCUCAUUUUUCUCACUGGUAAGUCAUGGGUGAUAAUAGUAUCCCUAUAAAUAAUACGUCCCUGACACAUAACACUCAACAACUAGCUAUUAUAGUGUUUCACCUUUAAGAACAUUGCAAAAUCUUGACCUCAGAGAGAAUUCCUAGGGUAGAGGGACUGGCCCAAGGGAUGCAAAGGGCAGAGCUGGGAAUACAGAAAGCACGGCAUGGAGGAACAAAGCCAGGGUUUACCAAAAGCAAGGAGAUGAUUCCAGAAAUUUUCCAGGAGACCUGGGGAGACAGCGAAGUGACUGAUGGGAUGUGAUAAGAAGAACUGACCAAGAGACUUCCCAUGACGGCAUUAAAAUGUGGGCCUUCCGAACACAGGGAGGGUGUUACUAACGGCACUAGGAUGGCCCCAGAAGAAAUGCACAAGGGGAUUUCAACCCCAUAAGUGUGGAACUCAGUCACUUUGGCAGGAAACAAAGUGAUAAGAACCUGUUACAGUUUGCACCAUCUAUUACAGUCCAUGCAAAACAUGACCGUGGGGUGUUACACAGAGCUCUCAUUGCAAGAUAAGGUCUCUGCGUGCUGUUUCCCGUCGAUGAUGUUAUUCAGCAGGAUGGCUCACAUGUUGAAACUUGAAACUCCUUGGGUGAAAAAAAAUCCCUCUGCAGGCUCUACCAGAUGUUACUUGUUGUAGCUCCUCAAGCCCAAAAAAAUGAGUUAAUCCUUGAAGGACAUUAUUUUGAACUUGCAUCAAACUCAGAGGCUUUUAUCCAACAGGCCAUGGCAAUUAAAAACAAGGCUAUCAGAAGAGCUGUGGGUGGUAGUCCUGUCUCUGAGAAAGGAACAGGGCCACUGGCUGACGGCCGCAUUCCAGAAUGCCUCCAGAUGCAGAGGCCCUCACUUAGUGUGAUGUUGUGAAAAUACUGCACUUUAAACACAUGUAUCAUAAACAAAACUUCCUCGCCCUCUAAAGACCUCACAGAAGUAUCACUCCAAGGCACUUCUCUUCUGAAUGCUCCAGGCCUUGCUGACCUCAGUUACCUUCUAGUUCUCUUACCCUCCUCACCCACAGCACACAGGUCACCACUUAAUAUUCUUGCGAUAUAUAGUCUCCUUUCUCCAGUUAUAUGGUGAGUUUCUAGACAUCCUAAACCCGUUACAUUUGAUAUUCCUCUGUCUCUCUGAAUGCCUAGCACUCUAAGAGGCACAUAAUUUAAAAAGAGUCAUGUUCUUCCUUGCACGCCUGAAAUCUAGCACAGCACCUGGCAUGUCGCAGACGCUCAAUAAGCAAAUAGGUGGUUAUUAAAUGAGUGAAACUGUUGAUUGAUAGCCUGGUUGAGUCAGCAUGAAAAGGUAGAUAAAGGGAAGAUUCAGCAGGCAUCUUAUAUUGUUUACCCAGCACCUCACUCCUCUCCUUCCAGAAGUUUCCCUCACCCAACCCCAUCUUUGUGCCCACCACAGGAGCUGAUGCAAACUGCUUCAGUGAGUUCUUUUUUUGGGACUUUUUGACUUGGAACUAGAGACAAUGUUAAGAUAGUGUCUUUCUAGUGACCAAAGCUAUGUGGAUGUACCAGUAAAUUUAGGAGCUAUUGGCCCCCAUGCUUUUUGCUACACAGAGAAGGCUCAUCUCCAGCUGGAGUGAAGAAUGAAGCUAAUUCUGCAAACAGAAAGUUUUCAAAACUCCUCAUCCUCAUUUGUGGUUUUAAUUAGCACCUUUUUGCCUCCCCUCCCUGGGCUGGUGUAUUACCAGAUACAGGGGAGGCAUGUAUCAUACCUGGAUGCUAGUUUCUGGUAGCUUGGGUCUUUGCUUUUCAUUUUCAACAGAUUUUUUCCAUAUGUGCAUUUGUCGAGAAGCUCAGAUGCCUGGGGCUGCAAUGCCAUCUGUGUAUAAUGAAAAACAUUUAUAAAGACUUUCCAAAGUGCACAAAGGGUGAUGGGCUCUCUGAACAGCAGCCAUGGACUUCACACCAAAAUAUGGUCUCUGUGAGCAAGGGCAAUGGGAAGAGCCUUUGCACAGUUCUGUGGUAGAGAAGAUGGUUAUAGAGACCAAAUGGUGUUCACGUUUUCUGAACCUCAAACCAGGGCACAUAGCAUAUGAGGGAAUUUAUGGAAACAAUAGGACAGCUUGUUUGAUGUUGAGCAACCAGCUUGAGAUUGCUGGUUACCGUAUUUAUAGAGCUAAUCUUUAGCAUCAAGACCUACUCUAGACAGCCUGGUUUAUUUACUGCCACUCAAAGAGCCCGUGCUGGUUUUAUCCUUGGCAUAUGCCGCAAAGUUCCGAGUGUCAAAGAGUUCCUCCUCCCUUUUUAUGUUUUCCAUUCACGUCCUACGCAUCCUGGAGGUCCAACUUCUUACCUCCUCCAGAAACGACUGUUCCAUCUGAUCCGCCACACCUGGCAUUUCUAAGAAUGGCAAAGACAUGUCAUAUAACCACAUACCCACACUCCACACAUCCGUGACCGACAUCACUAAUUGAUGUUAGGGCUCUUUCCUUCUGUAGCUGGCAAAGCCCUCAGAAUUCUUCCCAACACAGCUCUGGAGGCAACCACUAAAGGCUGACUGGAGUUCUGUGAAUCCUAGUUGCUGUCUCUCAUCUGUUCCCUUAGAUUGCUACUGAAAGUUUCUGAGCGUGUUUGUCUUCUUUCUGUAGCUGAGCUGAGUCCCUGAGGACGGCGACCAGGCCUCAAUGGCCCUAACAACAACAAUAAUAGCAGUGGCGAACAUUUAUUGAGUACUUAUAUGUCCUGCACUGUGCUGGCCAUUUAACACGUAUUAUCUAAUGGAAUCCUCAGCCAUUCCUCUGGAGAAGAUAGAAAAUCACAUAAAGCAACUCUUUUCAACAACUGCUUGUCAGUGGUUUGUUUUCACCUUGGGGCAACUAACUACAUUCCACUGUGGAAGUUCUCAUUGAAGAAACAGAGAGCCUAUGAGUUGAGAAAUGAAGUUUUUCCUUCAGCAGCUUUCUCGUUUUAGAAAAGGAAUAAAUUGUACAUAACCAAACAGGCGGGCCUCCCUAUCCAAGCCAAGCACAAGAGACUUAAGCACAGAUGGGGUUUUACCAUGUUGGCCAUGCUGGUAUUGAACUCCUGGCUUCAAGUGAUCCACCUGCCUCGGCCUCCCAAAUUGUUAAGAUUACAGGUAUGAGUCACACCAUCCAGCUCACCUUCUAUGUUUCUUUACUAAUAGAAAAAUCAAGCCCUUUGCAAAAAUGCCUGCAUACAGCAUGAUAGAGAAUAACCUUCAAUCCUGCUCCUUUAGGGGCGUAUCUUUAUUCAUCAUGUAUUUAACAGCUAAUUUUAAUAAUAGCUCAUGUUCAGUGAGUAUUUACUAUGUGCUGGGCUUUACAUGUUUUAAGCUUUACACAUUUUAGCUUGUUCUCAGCAAUUCCAGGAAGUAAAUUGUCGUUAGCAUUUUUAUUUUUAUUUUUAUUUUUUGAGUCGGAGUCUCACUCUAUCGACCAGACUGGUGUGCAGUGGCGCAUUUUCGGCUCACUACAACCUCUGUCUCCCAGGUUCAAGCUGCUCACUUCAGCCUUCCAAGUAGCUGGGACUAUAGGUGUGUGCCACCAUGCCCGCCUAAUUUUUGUGUUUAUUGGUAGAGAUGGGGUUUCACCAUGUUGGCCAGGCUGGAGCAUUUUGAUUUUACAAUUAAGGCUAAAGAAGGGAAGCAAAUUACCUAAGGCUGCCAGGUAAUAAGUGACUGAACCUAGGCAGUCUAAUUCCAGAAUACAUGCUCCUGAGCACUAUAUUAGUGUUCAUUUUGGCUGUGGAUAACAGAACCCAAAAUGAGAGUGGUUUAAAUAAAAUGGAACUUUAUUUCUCAUAUGUGAAAGUCCAGAGGUUAGUCCAAACUAGAUAAUCCAAAGCUAGACUGAAAGCUCGAUUCCACACGGUGCUCAGGGCUCCAGGCUCCUUCUCUAUCCCAGGACUCCUAAUGUGUAGUUUCAUCCCUAACAUUCAAAAUAGAUGCUAGAACUUAAGCCAUCCCAUCUGUAUUCCAAGCAGCAAGAUGAAAGAAGGGACAUCAUAGAAAAGGGAUGAAACACAUGCCAGUUGUUUACUAUGAACUGUUCCUGGAUGCAGCCAUGUGACAUUUCUGUUUACACACCAUGGAUCAUAGUAGCAAGAAGACUGGGGGUAGUCAUUAGUCUAUGUGGCUUUGUGACUGGUUAUAAAUUAGAGGAUUUCAUUACUGAAAGGAGGAGAGAAGUAAUCAGAGGCUAGAUGGGUAUAUAGAAGGAUAGAGGGAGAUGAAGCUGGAGAAGGGGCAGAGCCUGGGUGAUGAGAACUUACCAGGACCCUAUGUUUCCCCACUCUAAUCUUUGGGUUCAUUUCCUAUUCCAGGAGGUACCAAAGAAAGGCAAGGGCCAUACCUUGAAAACCAUCAGUUAUGGCAAGUGACUGACCCUCUGAAGCUUUGUAAUCAGCACUCCUAGAACUCAACUCAGGCGUCCACUUAGGUGAUGAACUUUAGGCAGGUUCCAAUCUGGGACCACCAGUUCAUUAGGUUCAAAUGGACGUGGGUGGCUUCUGAUUGGUGUCUCCAGAAAGCCCAGAAAGGGAAGAAGGUGUGGGGAGGGGGACACUGUAUUGGGCCACAGCCUCAGAGUGGCCCUUGCCUCUGAACCUCCAGAGCAAGCCUGGAUGCCAGCCAUGAGAGAGGAACUUCACGGUUUCCAAAGCUCUUUUGCAUGUGCUAUUUCCCCUGCAACACAAAAUUGUGGUAGGGCUUGCUCUGCUCCCUGUUUUGCCAGUGGGAAAAUGAGUCAGAAUCCCCCUGUGAUUUUCAGUAGGAUGAGGUGAGGUUUUAGAAUCUGUCUUUUCACAGGGGUGUCAGGGGAGUCUUAGGUUUAAAUAACUUUGGAACCCCCCCAGCUCAGGGUGGCAAGUGAUAUCGGAGGGUCACAUCUCAGGGGGCAGAUAAAUCACAAGACCGUAGACUCUGUGAUUAAUAAAAUGCUCUAAUUUAUUUUUUUAAAUUUUUAUUUAUUUAUUUAUUUAUUUUUGAGACAGAGUCUCACU